CGAGCGGCGGACGGGUGAGUAACGCGUAGGAAUCUACCCAGUAGUGGGGGAUAGCCCGGGGAAACUCGGAUUAAUACCGCAUGCGCCCUACGGGGGAAAGGCCGGGAUCUUCGGACCGGUCACUAUUGGAGGAGCCUGCGUAGGAUUAGCUAGUUGGUGAGGUAAAGGCUCACCAAGGCGACGAUCCUUAGCGGGUCUGAGAGGACGACCAGCCACACUGGAACUGAGAUACGGACCAGACUUC
rnacentral:rRNA from 1 species